rnacentral:lncRNA from 1 species
AUGGAAGGGCCCCGGAAGAAGGUGGGGCCCUGGGCUGCAGGAGUGCAGCGUGGCCAGAGCCCAGUGUGCACUGGGGCGGUGGGGGGAGGUUGUGAAGGCCCUUGGAAGCAUCUUAUCUGGGGAUGGAGAGCUGCUGCCGUCUGGAGUGACGCUGUCAGAUUUGCCGUUGGAAGGACGGAGCCCUGGAGGACCGUGCUCGACAAGACUCCUCAUGAAAAAGAGGAAGGUGGAUCUCCCUACCCCACCCCCAGGAGCUUUCCCGAGACAGGACCCCCUUCCAGGAGCCAGGGGUGAACACUCUGCUGUGAGUCUGGGAGCAGCAUUUGUCGGUGAAGUAAUUUAAUCCGUGCUGGCCAGGACAAUACUGAGGCGGAGGGGCUAACUCAGUAGCCAUCAAAGUGGUCCCAGACGGGGUGGGAUGUGCAAUGGCCUUGGGGCAUCAGUGGCUCAGAAAGAGGACAGUGAGGUGGGGAUCGCCCUGCCUGGAGGGGGGCUCGCUCUCGGGAGGGACACACCAGCCUUUCUGCUGUGGACACCCGUGUUGCCUCUUCUUUGCAGGAUGGCUCAGCCCAGUGAGGCCUCUUUGCUGUGUCGGUGGUCUCUGGUUAGACCCCUUAACAGCUCCCGAUACCUCCAGGAGAAUUUCUAAGUUGUUGGCCUGAUGUGAACCCCGCAUGAAUGUUCACACUCCCAUGUGAGCCUGCCGCCUGUUGGUGCUGGCGCCCUGCCCUGCCCUGCGGGUCUGCCCUUGUUCCCGGUCCCCACGUUGGAACAGCAGGGAGCACCCCUGUGGCUGGACUCCUGCGCCUCUGGCAACUUCCUGCCAACCCCCGCCUUAGUUUUUAGGGCACCUUUGGCCUCUGCCGUUGCCCGCUGAAGGGCAGGUGCUGUGCGCUCCCACUGCACCCAGGACAACGCGCUGCCCCAAGAAGGUUCUCGCCUACCGUGAGUUGAAAAGACAAGACCGUUUAGUUGCUUGGACGCUUUUCUCUGCUAGAAUGAGAUGUGUCUUAAGGGGAACUGGCCUGAGGGCAGGCUUGCUUCUACAGAUGGUCUCACCAGGAGGAACACGGACGGUCACCAGCAGUGGGCUGCGGUCAGUGGAGUGUGGCUGGUGGGUGCGCCUCUCAGAGGGGAGGAAAAUGGAGCGAGACCCCGAGACGGAGGCAGAUGGGCCGAGCUCAAGGGUGACGCGUGAGGGGCCAGUCCACCCCUUCCUUCAGUUUAGGGAGGUGUGAAUAUCUGAGGGGCCGUGGGAGGAGAGGAGGAUGGAAGGAGAAAGACCUGGUCUGGGAAGGCAGGCCCGCACCACCCUGGGAGACACAGGCCGGGCUGGGUGCCCCCUCCUCCUGGCGC